CGCUAUCAUCCUACGGGAGGCAGCAGUGGGGAAUAUUGCACAAUGGGCGCAAGCCUGAUGCAGCCAUGCCGCGUGUAUGAAGAAGGCCUUCGGGUUGUAAAGUACUUUCAGCAGUGAGGAAGGUGGAGUCGUUAAUAGCGGCCUCAUUUGACGUUUAGCUGCAGAAGAAGCACCGGCUAACUCCGUGCCAGCAGCCGCGGUAAUACGGAGGGUGCGAGCGUUAAUCGGAAUUACUGGGCGUAAAGCGCAUGCAGGUGGUUUGUUAAGUCAGAUGUGAAAGCCCGGGGCUCAACCUCGGAAUUGCAUUUGAAACUGGCAGACUAGAGUACUGUAGAGGGGGUAGAAUUUCAGGUGUAGCGGUGAAAAUGCGUAGAGAUCUGAAGGAAUACCGGUGGCGAAGGCGGCCCCCUGGACAGAUACUGACACUCAGAUGCGAAAGCGUGGGGAGCAAACAGGAUUAGAUACCCUGGUAG
rnacentral:rRNA from 1 species